UUAGUGGCAGUAAUCAGACCAUGUGACACCAUGAAGAGUGUGACAAGUUUCACGCUGAGUCGCCUCCUGAAAAUCAGCGGUGCCACACAGGAAGUGGUCGAGAUCAAGCUUACGGGAAGAAACAAACGGAACUUUCAACUGGACUUCUGGCGACUUGUGAAGUUUCUACCACAAUGACAUCAUCACGUGCCAUGACAGUGAAAAUGGAUUUUCUUCAACAAACUGAUUCACACACUGAUGGAGGGAGCUGCCAUGCAAGGCGCUAACCAGCACCCAUCAGGAGCAAGGGUGAAGUGUCUUGCUCAAGGACACAACGGACGUGACGAGCUUGGUACUAGGUGGGGAUUGAACCAGGGACACUCAGGUUGCGCACGGCCACUCUUCCACUGCGCCACGCCGUCCCUAGUUGAAGAAUUACAUUUAUAAGCGUCAUGCCCUCAUUCCAACAUGCUGUUUAUGUUUACGUGCCUGUUGCUGCGGCGACGGCACCGUCACUCCCUGUGGACUUUCACCCUGGAGGCUGAGGAUCGAAGGGAGGCGCCAAGAGGGGAACCCUCUGGAGUGGGCCAAAUUCCAUUAUGAAGACUUUCACACCACACUAAAAAUAAUUUAAUUUGGAAUUACAGGAAAUUGUUUAAUAAAUUGGUUCAAAAAGUUCAA